UACGUAGGGGGCAAGCGUUAUCCGGAUUUACUGGGUGUAAAGGGAGCGCAGGCGGCACGGCAAGCCUGAUGUGAAAGCCCGCGGCCCAACCGCGGGACGGCAUUGGGAACUACCGGGCUGGAGUGCCGGAGAGGUAGGCGGAAUUCCUAGUGUAGCGGUGAAAUGCGUAGAUAUUAGGAGGAACACCAGUGGCGAAGGCGGCCUACUGGACGGUGACUGACGCUGAGGCUCGAAAGCGUGGGGAGCAAACAGG
rnacentral:rRNA from 1 species